rnacentral:sRNA from 1 species
UAAUCUCAAGGUCCGAAUAUCACAUUCGGCAUAUUUAUUCAUUUUGAAAGAUAAGACAAAUAAAUUAGAAAGAGAUAAUGCGAUAAGCAGAGAUUUUAUAGAAAUAUUUAAAAUAGAAGUUGGAAAGUAAAAAUAGAAAUGUUGUUAUUUUUGGGGUACCUAUUACGGAAUGGCGUGCCUGGGCGACUGCCAACCGUAACUAGCACCACCUCACGUAAUAAGGCGCCAGGGUUCGUUGGUUAUUUGUUCGCUUAGGCGCGUAUACGCGAUUGGUGAUGCGUGCCUUUUUUGUUCCUUUAUAUUUAAUUUCAAUUUUCGAAUAAAAUCGCGUUAAUAUUAUAAUAUUAUCUUCUGGGGACUACUUUUAUAAUAUUACCUUUUGUGGACAUAAUGCGCAUUUAGUGCAAAUAUUAUAAAUAUUUUGCAUUAAUGACGAAAAGGUAUAAAAUGGGUUGAAAUUAAAAUUAGCGUUAUUACUAGACCAGUUUAAUUGGUCCAAAUAUUAUAAAUGUAAAAGUUUUAUAUGCGUCCGGUCCACCCUGCAACCGAAAAAGGUUUAAGUCAAAUAUUAAAAAUAGCGCACUACUAAAUAUAAUUUAGCAACUUUAUAUAUAUAUAUAUAUAUAUUAUUUUAAUAAGUAAGUAAAACUAUAAACUUAUUAUUAGUAAAUUCUGACUUUGAGUUAAAUAAUAGUUAUACUAACCCUAACGUAUAUUAUAUUUAUAAUUAUACCGGUAAAACCUUCUUACUAUUUGGGAAAGAAUAUGUAUAAAGAGCAGCCAGGAGUUCUGGAGAAAACCUGCCGUCUACAAUUUUCUAACCCAAUUCAUAUCGCACGAGAAAAUAUUUUAUCCAUUAUUACAAAAAAAUUACUUUUAACCGUUUUAUACUUCGUAUUGCAAGUAUAAAUAUGUCGUCUAUUGAUUUUAAAUACCCCCUUCCCGACGGCCACAACGCCGGAAACUGCUUCAUGACGCUAUUUAAACCUGAUAAAACGCCUGUCGCAAUGGCCGAUUUAUUUUCAAGCGGUACAACGAUUAUAAGGGUGCAGUUUGUGGAAAUAACUUUUUAUGUGGAUAAAGAUUGUCGUGCGACAAAGACGGACGGGCAGUUUCUCGAUGGCCUUUAUUUACAAGUAGGAAGGAAGGAGGGUAUGCAAUACUAUAGCAGACUUACAUAAUUUUAAUAAGGUUUACAAUUAUAUAUUUACAAAUCCCUGCCUAGGUUGUGCGUAUACUAUAAUAUAUUAGCCUUGUAAUAAUAUUUGCUCCAAAUAAAAGAAUCCAUAAUAUACUAUUUAACGUAAUCUUUUUAAAUUUACUAAUUUUGCGAUUUUACCGGACUUGUAUUUUAAUAAUCCCAGUUAUAAUAGGUUUAGUAGGGCCAUAUACGGUUGUAAUUCUAUUGUGGAACCGGGAAUAUAAUUGGCAAAAAGUUAUUUAAUUGCAAAAACUGCUAAAUUACCUAAGAGAAUAUAAAUUAAAUUAUAAUUAUAUAAAGGUAAACAACGAUUAAUGUUAAUA